GAGUUUGAUCGUGGCUCAGAUUGAACGCUGGCGGCAUGCCUUACACAUGCAAGUCGAACGGCAGCACGGGAGCUUGCUCCUGGUGGCGAGUGGCGAACGGGUGAGUAAUGCAUCGGAACGUAUCCUGGAGUGGGGGAUAACGUAGCGAAAGUUACGCUAAUACCGCAUAUUCUGUGAGCAGGAAAGCGGGGGACCUUCGGGCCUCGCGCUCUUGGAGCGGCCGAUGUCGGAUUAGCUAGUUGGUGAGGUAAAGGCUCACCAAGGCGACGAUCCGUAGCAGGUCUGAGAGGAUGAUCUGCCACACUGGAACUGAGACACGGUCCAGACUCCUACGGGAGCAGCAGUGGGGAAUUUUGGACAAUGGGGGCAACCCUGAUCCAGCCAUGCCGCGUGAGUGAAGAAGGCCUGG
rnacentral:rRNA from 1 species